ensembl:lncRNA
GCUUAAUUGUACCUUGCCUGAAGCAUAACUCUUUGUCCUGUCUUGUGUAACCAUGGAAGUUUUGUAAUCUUGGGGCUUCCAGCCCUACAAUUUUCCCUUAUAAAAAUACCCCUCAGUCGAAAGUGGGUACUCCAUUUGUUCUGGAACUAAUGGGGUCCUUGCUGCAGCUCAUAUCCUCGAGUCAAUAAAGAAACCUUUGUCCUUGCAUUCGAUCUCAUGGACAUGCCAAGCCAGCAACAAUUCUGAGAAGCCACUUUCACCUGCCUGCCUUCUUGAUACAGAGCCUAAGUGUGCAGUUGUUCGACAGGCAGCAUGGCGGUGACAUGGUGGCAAGUCCCAUCUUUCCUGAGCAGAUGAAUCACCUAAGCUGAGCAUGUGGAUCUCACCCCUGUAUGCCAUGACUGACAUAGGAAAGGAUCCAUAACACGGGUCUCACUCUGUAGUCCAGGCUAGCUUGGAACUCACUCUGUAGCCUAGAUUGGCAUAAAAUUCAGAGCAAUGCUCUUGCCUUGACCACCUGAGUGCUGGGAAUUACAGAGGAGAAAACACCUUAGAGGCUCAGUGGCUUGCUCAAGGCAACAGUUCUACAAGGGAAAGAGAGCUUACACUCAGAUCCUGGUGUUCUGGCCUACAGCUCUCCCUGAUCUGCAACCUUGCUUUCUCUCCCACCCUCUUCCUCACCCUCUGCCUGACCCUGGGCAUCUGCUCUACAGCCAACUGGCUUCCCUUCAAGGAAUUUUCCAGGGACACAUCUGCUGCUCAGCUGCAAUAUCCCUGGGGUCAUCUGCCUGCCGUUGUUUUCAGUCUGUGCUGUGAAGGACUGAGCUUGCCUCCUAAUGGCUGUUUCCCUUCAGAAUCUAGAAAGAAAGCUCCUGUAGGUAGAGAUGGGUAUAAGGGAAGGAAGUGGGAGAAUCCAGACCCAGAAAAAACUGAACCCUAUGUCCAUUUGUGCUUUCUUCAAAAGUGAUUCGCUGCCUGGGCUCAUCUGGCCCCAGCUCCAACACUGUCUUUACAGCUAAAUGUCAGAGUGUUGAGAUUUUGUGAUAGAGUUUUCCCCAGAAUAGAUCUCCAAUUCCUUUCUGAGGUGAGAAGAUUCAGUCUGCAACUACCGCGGCCCACCAAGCGCUAACACGUGUUGAGCCUGCAUGGAAGCUAUCAAAGACUAAAGACAGGUAGUUUGGACUGUGGACAAGCAAGUGCCUUCUCUCUAGGCCACAGCUUCCUCCUCUGUAAUGUUGAAAUAUCAAGAAUCAUCUAACAGGGUUGCUCUAGGCACCCAGUGAGAGAAUGGCUGUCUGAGUGCUGGACAAACCCCCUGCCAUGAAAGCAGGAGAGGGGCUGACACACUCCAGCUCGUUGGCCCAUUGGAAUCACUCAGGGCAUGCAGUGGAGUGAGAACACAAGGAAGAGAAUAAGACAAUGUGAGACACAGGUUGAUACUGAAGAAGAGAAUCUUUGCUUGGGGCAGGUGGCUCCAACUCAGAGGACAUUUUUACAAAAUCCUUCCAAGCCUCACUUACCGCGGAAGACAGAGGAACCACAUAACAAUGCUGUAAGACAGCUGUGGGCAGGUGUGAGCAGGAAGAAGUAACAAAGCUGACUUCAUAUUUUAAGUCCAUAGCCGAAGCUCAGCAUUGUCAUUAAAAAGGCACAGCUGAGAAGACACCUGGAGCAGUGACAAGUACCUGUGCCAACACAGGGUACAAUGGGUGCAUGUUCAGAACUGUUAAACAUGAACAUUAUUAUUAAGAGUCACUUAAACUCAACUAAGUCAUACUAAAAUCCAUCACUUCCUAAUUAUUUUUACUUUCUGUGUGUUGUGUGUGUGAGUAUACGAAUCAUGUGUGUGCAGGUGUCCACAGAGGUCAGAAGAGGGCAUUGGAUCCCCUUUAACCACACUGUGUCAUCUCUCCAGCCACCAAAGCAAGUCUGAAUCCUUUUUUGCCUAUUUUGCUACCACAUGUGCUUUCGAAGUUCCUUCCACCUGUUAUAUCCGUGAGAUGGAAAUACAGCUGCGUGCUGCUGCACUCCAAAUCCAUACUCAAUGGUAUCACAUCUUGAAAUCAUCCAGAGUAUUUCUAUUGUAGAAAUGGGAAAGCCUGUAAUUCCUCAUCUCCCUGCCCUAGAGAGCUGGUUAUUAAAUAUUUACCAGAGCAGCACUGACAAAGAGCCUCCCCACUGUUAGAAUGCCUCCAGUGGAUUGGGUUUUAUGAAACACCAAGUUGUGCUGCUGAACACUUAGGUUAUAUUUCUUGUGUUGCUUAAAUGUCUUCCCACCACUAUGUAGUAAGACUGCUGUGAGGCAUCUCAUGAGGGCUAAUAUCCCAAGGAGUGUUGAAAAGGCUUAUGUCUACAGCGACUCAGACACUGUGAGGGUUUCAUGAAGCAUGUUGCUGGAGGGAAAUAACAGAAAGAAAC